AAGAAAGCCAUCUUUCCUUCAAUCACCUUCUAUUUUUAAGCUCUGGGUUUGCUUGCACUGUCUUGUUUCUUCUAUCUAAAUUCUUCUAGGGAGUUAAAGGAGAGGCCAAAGCUUUUCUUGAGUUUGCUGGGUCUUCAUUGCCUUCAGCUUAAAACAGUCCAUAGGCCAAAGCGGCACCUUUUGGGGUGGUUCAUUCUGAACCCUUUCAGAAAUUUUAUAAAAAUAAAAGAAUAUAUGUGUCUUUAAUAUUCCUCCUUCAGAGCUCAAAGAAUAAAUACAGGCAUGUAAAUUUAUCAGCUAACUAGCCAGCCACUACACACUAUUGUGUUACUACUUCCCCAUUUCACAACUGGGAAAACUAAACUGUUAUCUUAGACUACCCAGAGAUCUAAACCGCCCAAGGUUCUCUCCAGGGCGUGGCUUUUUAUAUUUAUCCUGGGGCAAAGCAGAUUAGGACGCAGUGGUGUGAUUCAUGGCUAACCCAAGUGCUAGUCAACUGAACAAACAGAACUAAAUCCAGGUCUCCCAGUGCAAAUCGUCUGUCACACAUAAAGUGGAUGAAGCUAUGUUUUAGAAAAUAUUUCUGGAACAAUUUUUCACAUCAUGUGGUCCCAGAAACCCCUGGGGUCUGCAUCUCCUACAGACUAUUAAAAAUGCAGUUCCCUGGGACCCACCCCAGGGAGUGUGAGUGGAAUUUAAACAAUGUACUUGGACUGAGUCAUAGCAGAAAUCAUCAAACUUGUUUUAUUUUCCUCCUCGUGAUGUGAAAUCACUUUCACUUUCCAGUUCCUCUUCCCUCUCAAUCUCUUGGAAAAGGGAAGCUAGCAACUGCUCACGCCUGCCUUCCCCUUUAAAUAGCCCUUUCAGCAUUUACUUGCCACAGACAAAGAAGAUUUCGGAAGAGCCAAUCAGCUUGGACCCACCUUUUGAGACGUGCAGAAAAGCGGUUUGCAGUCACGAGCAGACCUUAUUAAAGAUGGAAUUGGUAGUCCAAACCCAGCUCACAUUGAGAGGAAUUUCACCCUGAAAGUUUGAUCACUUCAAGGAGUCCUGACAUCAGUUUCAGUUUCCAUUUCCUCUCCAUAAAAGCACAGACCUCGCCGGGGCUCGGACACCUCAUCAGCUCUUGCUUGCGAUCCACAAGCAGAACGUGACACCAGCCUGGACUCGGCUUCUGGGAAUUCCAGGGACAUCGCCAUCAUGAGGUAAGGAUGCCUGGCUCCUCUGCUCGCCGGUGGAGCGUUUCUCGCCAAUCCCGCCCUGGCGUGAAGCUCCGAGAACCCUCCCGAUUCGGUGUGUGCUUAGCGACGAAAGAUGCGCAGCUCUUAACUUGACCAGGACCCUCUCUGGCCAGUUCGUGCCUUUUUAUUUCCGUGGCUCGGUCUGUUUCUGAGUCAGGCGGCCGGAGGACACGGAGGGUGGUGCUCGCAGGAGCGCUGGCCGCUGGCAGCAGGUGGAGGACCGGAGUUUCUGGAGAGAGCCCCGGGGGGGGUAGCCUGCUCCCCGCCUUCCAGGCAAAAUCUGGGCAACGGGGAGGGACAGCGGAGGUCCUAGUCCCUCUUUGGUGUCUUAGAUUUUAUCAGACUAAACCAGAGGUCUGUGAGCUCAAU